rnacentral:rRNA from 1 species
GAACGCUGGCGGCGUGCUUAACACAUGCAAGUCGAACGGAAAGGCCCUGCUUUUGUGGGGUGCUCGAGUGGCGAACGGGUGAGUAACACGUGAGUAACCUGCCCUUGACUUUGGGAUAACUUCAGGAAACUGGGGCUAAUACCGGAUAGGAGCUCCUGCUGCAUGGUGGGGGUUGGAAAGUUUCGGCGGUUGGGGAUGGACUCGCGGCUUAUCAGCUUGUUGGUGGGGUAGUGGCUUACCAAGGCUUUGACGGGUAGCCGGCCUGAGAGGGUGACCGGCCACAUUGGGACUGAGAUACGGCCCAGACUCCUACGGGAGGCAGCAGUGGGGAAUAUUGCACAAUGGGCGGAAGCCUGAUGCAGCAACGCCGCGUGCGGGAUGACGGCCUUCGGGUUGUAAACCGCUUUCGCCUGUGACGAAGCGUGAGUGACGGUAAUGGGUAAAGAAGCACCGGCUAACUACGUGCCAGCAGCCGCGGUGAUACGUAGGGUGCGAGCGUUGUCCGGAUUUAUUGGGCGUAAAGGGCUCGUAGGUGGUUGAUCGCGUCGGAAGUGUAAUCUUGGGGCUUAACCCUGAGCGUGCUUUCGAUACGGGUUGACUUGAGGAAGGUAGGGGAGAAUGGAAUUCCUGGUGGAGCGGUGGAAUGCGCAGAUAUCAGGAGGAACACCAGUGGCGAAGGCGGUUCUCUGGGCCUUUCCUGACGCUGAGGAGCGAAAGCGUGGGGAGCGAACAGGCUUAGAUACCCUGGUAGUCCACGCUGUAAACGGUGGGUACUAGGUGUGGGGUCCAUUCCACGGGUUCCGUGCCGUAGCUAACGCUUUAAGUACCCCGCCUGGGGAGUACGGCCGCAAGGCUAAAACUCAAAGGAAUUGACGGGGCCCUGCACAAGCGGCGGAGCAUGCGGAUUAAUUCGAUGCAACGCGUAGAACCUUACCUGGGUUUGACAUGGAUCGGGAGUGCUCAGAGAUGGGUGUGCCUCUUUUGGGGUCGGUUCACAGGUGGUGCAUGGCUGUCGUCAGCUCGUGUCGUGAGAUGUUGGGUUAAGUCCCGCAACAAGCGCAACCCUUGUUCACUGUUGCCAGCACGUUAUGGUGGGGACUCAGUGGAGGCCGCCGGGGUCAACUCGGAGGAAGGUGGGGAUGACGUCAAGUCAUCAUGCCCCUUAUGUCCAGGGCUUCACGCAUGCUACAAUGGCUGGUACAGAGAGUGGCGAGCCUGUGAGGGUGAGCGAAUCUCGGAAAGCCGGUCUCAGUUCGGAUUGGGGUCUGCAACUCGACCUCAUGAAGUCGGAGUCGCUAGUAAUCGCAGAUCAGCAACGCUGCGGUGAAUACGUUCCCGGGGCUUGUACACACCGCCCGUCAAGUCAUGAAAGUUGGUAACACCCGAAGCCGGUGGCCUAACCGUUGUGGGGGAGCCGUCGAAGGUGGGACUGGUGAUUAGGACUAAGU